rnacentral:rRNA from 1 species
UACGUAGGGUGCGAGCGUUGUCCGGAAUUACUGGGCGUAAAGAGCUCGUAGGUGGUUUGUCGCGUUGUUCGUGAAAUUCCCUGGCUUAACUGGGGGCGUGCGGGCGAUACGGGCAGACUGGAGUACUGCAGGGGAGACUGGAAUUCCUGGUGUAGCGGUGGAAUGCGCAGAUAUCAGGAGGAACACCAAUGGCGAAGGCAGCACUCUGGGACGUGACUGACGCUGAGGAGCGAAGGCCAGGGGAGCAAACGGG